AAGACAUUGUUUCUCUCUUCCCUGCUCAAGAAAGAAGGUCGCACGUAUUUUCCGAAUUGAAUAGAGGCGAUUAUAAGUCAACAUGUUGGGCCAGGCAGUUCGGCGAUUUACAACCUCAGCAGUCCGUGCCUCUCACUACGGAGAGGGACCAGGACAGAAUCUUCCAUUCUCAGUGGAAAAUAAGUGGAGGCUGUUGGGCAUGAUGGUGGUGUUCUUCGGCAGUGGAUUUGCAUUCCCCUUCAUUGUUGUGAGGCACCAAAUCCUGAAGAAGUAAACUGGGCCUUGAAACAUGUCCUACAAGGUCACUCACCCUCAACAUCUUGUCUGGAACAGCUAUCUUCAUGUCCAGUGGGGAUUGUGUAAUUUUAUUUGUACAUAAUAAAGCCCAAUAAGCCAUUUA